GUUUAAUGAUGUUUGCUUCUCAUGACACCAGUCUCUGCCUCUUUUUGGUUGACUAGAUGUGUACUGUAAUGAUGAUCCUUGAAAACUUGUAGGUUCGAUGAUUACUCUGUGAGUAGGUGAUGCUCUAUGCAACCUGAUGUUGAUAAGUUUGGCUUCUUGUGACACCUGCCUUACCAUGAAGGAUGUACUAUUCAGCUGUAGAAGUAACUUCGUGACAUGUGGAGCUUUUUAAAGGACCAGUAACUGAGAUGAUGCCAUUCACCCAAGGAGUUGGUGCUUUUGAUGAGACUACGAUGUGUGGGAUGUGUAGGCAUACUGCUGUGAUCCUUGAAGGAGUUUGACACAAGAUGCAUAAAGGAGCUGGGAUGAUUUCAUUUUUCUAAGGAGGUGGUGCUCUGGGACCCUGAUGUUGAUGAGUCUUCAUUCUUGUGAUACAUGAUAGAUGUUCAAAGAGACUCCUAGUUUCAAGAUCAUCUCCCACAUGAUGAACAGAGUGCCGUCUCGAUCUUCUCAGUUGCUUUCCGCUGCUUGAGGACAAACCUGGACCCAAUUUCAUAGCACUGCCUAAUGGCAAGCAAUUUUCGUGCUUGAUGUAGCAGAAAAAUUUGCUAAAGCAUAAGCGUAGUUUACAGGUUAGCAAAAAAUUAGGCAGCCAUCUUGCGUAUACACCUUUGCUUUUGUUGUUACGUCAUUCAUUUUUCACAGUAAGCACCAAAAGGUUAGCGUAACUUUUGUGUGCUUACAGUUUAAUAGCAGCGCUAUGAAAUGGAAACUUGCACAGUAAGCACAAAGUUGGCCGCUAGACAGCUCUAUGAAAUUGGGCCCUGGAGAAAUUGUAUGUAUUUUUUGCCUCCUCUAGGUCUUUCUGCCAUUCGGAAUGCAGUUGGAAAUUGUUUCAACAAAUUCUCAAAAUUUUCUGAUCAAAAAAGUGCAUUUCUGGUAUUUUGUUUCCUUUUGGAAACUACAUGAGAAAGGCAAAAAAGACCCCUGGGGAUAAAAGUUUAAAGAGACACGUUACCUUCGAUUGAGCGUUUUGAUUUACAAAUCACAAAAUGGCGAACCGUGUUAGUUCGUGAAGCAAAAGGGAAACCACACAGGCAUACUUCUUAGAACUUCUUUCCAACCAUUUUUGUCUCAAAGCACUUUUUACAGGCAAAGAGCCCUAUCCAAGGCAACGUGUCCCUUUAAUGUGCAGUUAAAGGCACUGGACAUGUUUGGUAAUUACUCAAAAUAUU